GGGUUGUGAGGUUAAGCGACUAAGCGUACACGGUGGAUGCCCUGGCAGUCAGAGGCGAUGAAGGACGUGCUAAUCUGCGAUAAGCGCCGGUAAGGUGAUAUGAACCGUUAUAACCGGCGAUUUCCGAAUGGGGAAACCCAGUGUGACUCGUCACACUAUCAUUAACUGAAUCCAUAGGUUAAUGAGGCGAACCGGGGGAACUGAAACAUCUAAGUACCCCGAGGAAAAGAAAUCAACCGAGAUUCCCCCAGUAGCGGCGAGCGAACGGGGAGGAGCCCAGAGCCUGAAUCAGCAUGUGUGUUAGUGGAAGCGUCUGGAAAGGCGCGCGAUACAGGGUGACAGCCCCGUACACAAAAGCGCAUGUGUUGUGAGCUCGAUGAGUAGGGCGGGACACGUGGUAUCCUGUCUGAAUAUGGGGGGACCAUCCUCCAAGGCUAAAUACUCCUGACUGACCGAUAGUGAACCAGUACCGUGAGGGAAAGGCGAAAAGAACCCCGGCGAGGGGAGUGAAAAAGAACCUGAAACCGUGUACGUACAAGCAGUGGGAGCCCCACCACUAAGCCAGUGGUGAACUCCACAUACGCAUCCUUUGCUGAAGGUGCGGUUAACGGAGCGCAAGCGACGUUCAACCUCAAAAGAAGCAGAGGGGGCUUAGUGGUGGGGUGACUGCGUACCUUUU
rnacentral:rRNA from 1 species